rnacentral:rRNA from 1 species
UGUGUAGGCGGUUCUUUAAGUUUGGUGUGAAAUCUCCCGGCUCAACCGGGAGGGUGCGCCGAAUACUGAGGGACUAGAGUGUGGGAGAGGAAAGCGGAAUUCCUGGUGUAGCGGUGAAAUGCGUAGAUAUCAGGAGGAACACCGGUGGUGUAGACGGCUUUCUGGACCGUAACUGACGCUGAGACACGAAAGCGUGGGUAGCAAACA